GGAAUCGUGCACAAUGGACGAAAGUCUGAUCCCGCGACACCGCGUGAUGGAUGAAAGUCUUCGGAUCGUAAACAUCUUUUUUAGGGGAGCAAGUUCUGAGAGUACCCUAAUAAUAAGUGCCUGCUAACCACGUACCAGAAGCAUCGGUAAUGCGUGGGGCACGAGCAUUAUCCGGAAUUACUGGGCGUAAAGAGAUGCGUAGGCGUCCUUGUAAGUUUGAUGUUAAAUCUCGGCGCUUAACGUCGAAAUCGCAUCAAAAACUACAAGGAUUGAGUCAGGUAGAGAAGAGGGGAAUUCCUAGUGGAGCGGUUAAAUGCGUUGAUAUUAGGAGGAAUACCAAUGGCGAAGGCACCUCUUUGGACCUCGACUGACGCUAAGGCUCGAAAGCGUGGGGAGCAAAA
rnacentral:rRNA from 1 species